UCUGAUCCAUAAGGCACAAACGUAGGAAGGGGCCUAACUCUUCUGCACCCCAUGCAGAUUGUUCAUAGACACGGGGCAGCUCCUCCGAGGCCAGAAGAGUCUGCAGGGAUACCAGAAAAGUCGUUACAGAUUACAGUGUUUUAAAACCAGUUGAAUAAGUUGUCGACAUUUAAAUAUUAGGAGAGUUCAAAUAAAAAUCUUGACAAUUUGGAAGAUCUGGCAACACUGGAUCCACAGUCCCACAUGACGAUGAUGGGCUCCAGUUCUGUGUGGUCCACUUACUUUGGUGCACUGACUCGGUCAUCUUAUCGACUCCUCACAUUAAUUCUGUGAGAGUUUUGCUCUUGUUGCCCAGGCUGGAGUGCAAUGACAC